CAAGUAAAGGGACAUCUGGUUAGUGGAAGGCUUUUAAAAAUGAGAUACUGAGAAAUCAGGGGCAGCAUUAGGGAAGCCUCAUUAAUGAAUGAUGUUGAAGAAUUUGUCACUAAAAAGGAGGCAUGGGUCUGGUAUAGGGAGCUGGGAUCAAGAAUCCCCUGAGGAGUACAAGGCAUGAAGGAGUACACUUAAGAGAGCAAAAUGAGGAUGAGAGAUAGCCUUAGCAGAUAAAAAGGUGAAUCCUAAGAGAUUCUACAAGUACAUUAAGACCCAAGGCAACUAGGGAGAAAAUCAGGACCCUUAAACGUCCAUUUGUGGAGCAACAAGAGAUGGGCUUGGUUUUAAAUGCGUAUUUUUCACCAGUAUUUACUGUGGAGGUUAUGGUAGCUAAAGGAAGCCAAUGGUGAUAUCUUGAAGCAUAUCUACAUCACAUAUGGGUGGAUAAAUCCCUGGCCAAAUGGAGACAAAAUUGAUUUGUUUGCAGCAGUUAGUUGGUAGUGGGGAGUUGCUUUACAGAUUGGAGGUCUAUGAUUACUGAUGUGCCAUAGGGAACAAGGUGGAUCAACUAUUGUUUGUCAUCUGACAUCAUUGUAACAAUUUGAGAAUUAAGUUGGCAUUGUUUUUGUGGAUGACAACAAAAUUGGUGGUAGAGUGGAUAGUGAAGAAGUUUAUUAUCACAGCGGGAUCUAGAACAAAUUGGAAAAUGUGUCAAGAAAUGGAAUUUAAUUAAGCCAAAUGUAGUCUGUUGCAUUUUGGUAAGUUAAACCAGGACAAGACUUGAACUGAAAGAUGUCUUUAAAAAGGAAAGGACAAUUCACAAGGAUUUCACUGACACCGGAAGGCUUGACAGGAUAGGCUGGAACCUGUUCUUCCUUGUAUUUAGUUAUCAAAAUGUUAAAAAUAUAACUUCAUAUCAUGGCAUGAAUUGCCUUAGUUAUGGGUUCAACAUCUUGCUGAACGAUCCUGUCAAUAGGAUAUCUUUAUUCAUUUUAUAUUAUUUCAAAAGUUGUCCCUGAGUGGUAAUUAUCUUCACAAAUUUUAUAAUAUAGUAUUGCAAAUUCUGUGUGUAUAAUUGUAAAUAUUGCUUGAUAAUGAAAAUCAUUGCUGCUGUCAUUGUUGAAAAGAACAGCAAUUUGAUCAUUGUGAUUUGUAUUUAUACAAUUUGAGGUGUGGGCACAUUAAUUCCUAGACUAAAUUUUAAGUGAGUUGAUUUCUUGAGUAAAUGAUAUUUCCUUUACUGUGGAGUUUGCUAAAGUGUUUGGCCAUUCUUUAAUGAAUAACUUUGUCAGAAAACAAAUUAUUUUGAAACUAGCAUGAGCAUUGAUUUAAAAGAGACACAAGGGCUAACUAUUUCCACACAGAAGAUGAUGCGCACAAGGACUGAACUGCCAGAAAAAGUUGUAGAGGCAGGUAAAAUGAUGACGUUAAGAAGUAUGUGGUAACCUGGUCAGUAUGGAUGAGUUAAGCUGAAAGGCCUUUAUUUGUGCUGUAUAGGUCUAUAUCUGGGUUUGGGGUGCUUCUGUCUGAUGCCUAUAAAAUACAUAGUUGUCAUAUAUUGCAAUAGUUCACGAAUUAAAUUCAUUGCGACAGAGAUAUCUUGAAAAUAAACAAAAAAAACCUGAACAGUUAUCAGCCUUAAAUCACGUUAGAACAUGGAAAAAUGAAUGAAUGGACACAGCACUAUUUUGUAAAGCCAUUCGGAUUUCAGCUAUUUUUAUUAUUAUACUGAUUUAAGAUACUGCAACUAAAACAGCAAACUGAAUUAUUUAAGAGUACCCUUGAUU